GCCUGACUGGCUGUUAUCAAGUUCAAGUAAUCCAGGAUAGGCUGUUUGUAUCCUGGUUGGCCUAUUCAUGAUUACUUGCACUGGGUGGCAGCUCCUAGAU